AGACCCGAAACCCGGUGAUCUAGCCAUGGGCAGGUUGAAGGUUGGGUAACACUAACUGGAGGACCGAACCGACUAAUGUUGAAAAAUUAGCGGAUGACCUGUGGCUGGGGGUGAAAGGCCAAUCAAACCGGGAGAUAGCUGGUUCUCCCCGAAAGCUAUUUAGGUAGCGCCUCGUGAAUUCAUCUCCGGGGGUAGAGCACUGUUUCGGCUAGGGGGCCAUCCCGGCUUACCAACCCGAUGCAAACUGCGAAUACCGGAGAAUGUUAUCACGGGAGACACACGGCGGGUGCUAACGUCCGUCGUGAAGAGGGAAACAACCCAGACCGCCAGCUAAGGUCCCAAAGUCAUGGUUAAGUGGGAAACGAUGUGGGAAGGCCCAGACAGCCAGGAUGUUGGCUUAGAAGCAGCCAUCAUUUAAAGAAAGCGUAAUAGCUCACUGGUCGAGUCGGCCUGCGCGGAAGAUGUAACGGGGCUAAACCAUGCACCGAAGCUGCGGCAGCGAACGUAUCACCCAAGACAACUUUACGGAGUUGACGAUUGACGGAGCGAAGCGACGUCAAAGCGUUCAUUAAAGUCGAGUUGGCUUAGGGAUACGUUCGUUGGGUAGGGGAGCGUUCUGUAAGCCUGUGAAGGUGUGUCGUGAGGCAUGCUGGAGGUAUCAGAAGUGCGAAUGCUGACAUAAGUAACGAUAAAGCGGGUGAAAAGCCCGCUCGCCGGAAGACCAAGGGUUCCUGUCCAACGUUAAUCGGGGCAGGGUGAGUCGACCCCUAAGGCGAGGCCGAAAGGCGUAGUCGAUGGGAAACGGGUUAAUAUUCCCGUACUUGGUGUUACUGCGAAGGGGGGACGGAGAAGGCUAUGUUGGCCGGGCGACGGUUGUCCCGGUUUAAGCGUGUAGGUGUGUGUUCCAGGUAAAUCCGGUUCACUUUAACACUGAGGCGUGACGACGAGGCACUACGGUGCUGAAGCAACAAAUGCCCUGCUUCCAGGAAAAGCCUCUAAGCAUCAGGUAACACGAAAUCGUACCCCAAACCGACACAGGUGGUCAGGUAGAGAAUACCAAGGCGCUUGAGAGAACUCGGGUGAAGGAACUAGGCAAAAUGGUGCCGUAACUUCGGGAGAAGGCAC
rnacentral:rRNA from 2 species